rnacentral:rRNA from 1 species
AACGAACGCUGCGGCGUGCCUAACACAUGCAAGUCGAACGAGAAACCCCGGCUUCGGUUGGGGGAAGUAAAGUGGCGCACGGGUGAGUAACGCGGUGAGUAACCUACCCCGCUUGACUGGAAUAACGUCGGGAAACUGGCGCUAAUACCGGAUGAAAUCCCGGGUUGCAAGGCUACGGGAUCAAAGGAGGCCUACUCCAUGGAAGCUUCCACAAGGGGAUGGGCUCGCGUCCCAUUAGCUAGUUGGUAGGGUAAAAGCC